rfam:Triticum aestivum genome assembly, contig: Triticum_aestivum_CS42_TGACv1_scaffold_408259_5BL
UAAAUACUCCCUCCGUCCCAAAAUAAGUGACUCAACUUUGUAUUAACUUUAGUACAAAGUUAGUACAUACUUGAGUCACUUAUUUUGGGACGGAGGGAGUAUUUG